CCUACGGGUGGCAGCAGUGGGGAAUAUUGCACAAUGGGGGAAACCCUGAUGCAGCGACGCCGCGUGAGUGAAGAAGUAUUUCGGGAUGUAAAGCUCUAUCAGCAGGGAAGAAAAUAACGGUACCUGACGAAGGACCCCCGGCUAAAUACGUGCCAGCAGCCGCGGUAACACGGAGGGGGCAAGCGGUAUCCGGAUUUACUGGGGUUAAAGGGAGCGUAGACGGCUAUACAAGUCAGACGUGAAAGCCGAGGGCUCAACCCUGGGACCGCUUUUGAAACUGGCGGGCUGGAGUGCAGGAGAGGUAAGCGGAAUUCGUGGUGUAGCGGUGAAAUGCGUAGAUAUUAGGAGGAACACCGGUGGCGAAGGCGGCAUACUGGACUAUAACUGACGUUGAGGCUCGAAAGCGUGGGGAGCAAACAGGAUUAGAUACCCGUGUAGUC
rnacentral:rRNA from 1 species